rnacentral:rRNA from 1 species
CUCAAGCGUUGUUCGGAUUCAUUGGGCGUAAAGGGUGCGUAGGUGGCGUGGUAAGUCGGGUGUGAAAUUUCGGAGCUUAACUCCGAAACUGCAUUCGAUACUGCUGUGCUUGAGGACUGGAGAGGAGACUGGAAUUUACGGUGUAGCAGUGAAAUGCGUAGAGAUCGUAAGGAAGACCAGUGGCGAAGGCGGGUCUCUGGACAGUUCCUGACACUGAGGCACGAAGGCCAGGGGAGCAAGCGGG